rnacentral:lncRNA from 1 species
AGUGGACUUUCCUUUGCUCAGAUGGUGCUAUAGCUGAAUGUGAUGACAUGAUGACAAAGUUUAAAUGGAAAAGUAGGUUGGUUGGGUUAAACAAAAAUCACUUCAUUUUAGCCAAAUGAAGGGCCCAGCUUUUUCACAUUUUGACCUAUUUUGUGGCCACCAUGUAGAUACUUCUUAGAGCUGGAGACCCAACAUCCUUGAAGGCUUGAGGAUGAAUACGGGAGCCCUGCUCCAAGCUAGGGGACAUGUGUGCUCCUGGUGAGGUGGCAGAGGGAAUGAGUAAGAAAAAUGAAGUAUUUAUGGUGCAAACACAAAGAACCAGAGAGGAUUUAACAGUUGACAUUUUCAAGAGUGGCACACUCAGUUUUAAGGAAGGGCUCUUACAUUCUUUGCAAAAUUUUCAAGAGUAAAUUCAUUGGGUUUGGGGAAAAACUCGAGUCUGUGCAUCCUUCCAAUAUUCAGGAUAAUGUUUGUCCCCUUUUUCACUGGGUAGCCAUCAAUUACGUCAUCUUCUAAGGCUUUGCGCAUGACCAAGUCCACGACAGGCUGGUACCGCAUGCUCUCAUAAAUGAAGUUUUCCAUCACUUUUAAUUUUUGUAUAUCAUCAAUCUUUAUGUCUCUCUCACCUGUGGAAACAGAUAAAAGGGACAAAGAAGGUAAUGUUAGUUUCCAUCUGUGAUUGGUAUUAAAGCUUCUAUUUUUUUCCACAGAACCGUUUGCUCUUGGUUGAAAAAAGUUGUGGCUCUAAUUCUAAUGCACACCAGCAACCAGGGCCAAAUAUGUUAUGCUUGGGCCACAGAGUGUUUUAUACAAAUUCAGAUAUGAAGCCAAUUACCUUAAAAACUGGUGGAGUUUAUAGAAAAGUCUGAAUGUCCAGAAAAUUUGGUGAUGCUGAACUUACAUUCCCACAUAGCAAUAAUGGGCUGACGCUGAGUGGCCAAUUACCUGCUUAGAGGGGGCAUACAUCGUACAGUUCCAUCUAGACCACACCCAAUCUGCUUCAAACAUUCAUCUCAUCUGCCUGGUUUCUGAAAUCUUUGAGUUUUUGUUCCCUACUCUAAAUUGUAGGGGACAUUCAUUUCCUCUCUUCACUUACGAGCAAACUGGCACCACAACCAUCCCAGAGAUGAUGCACAGGCUGCUGCAGAGUCAAAGUGAGAUGGCAGAUUUGAUCUAUUUCAAUGAAAUUUUCUCUUCUGGUUACCUGUGCAGUCAUCUGCCCAUACAUGUCACUGAUAGUCCCUCUGCAUCUCAUCAAGAAAGACCUGAAGUAGAGUGACAAGGAUGUUCUCCCCACCACAACAAAAUAGGUGCCUCAGAUCAGCCCUAGGUGAGCUGGGGAUAGAUGGACACCCUCACUGUCUCAGAUUAGCCUGACACUGGUCAAAGAGGCUUAGAUUAUUCCCAGACAUGGUAAAGCUUCAGAGAUGCCACUUUUGCAGGAUGAAAAAUAGCCCAGGGUCCUGAGGCAGCCCUGUCUCAUAUACAACGAAGCCACUGAGGAAAGGUCUAGUUUGGUCAGAGUCUUCUCAUGGCCCUUCCUCUUACAUACUGCCCUUGGCACACUCAAGGGUCUAAUGGGGCCUGUAUAGCUGGGGUUGGGAGGUAGAAAAGAAGAUGAUGGAGAAGAUGACCAAAGGUGCUCACUAGGAAGUAGUUAGGUACACAUUCUGUGAUAUCUCUUCACAUCUGUAAGAAAUGUGUUCCUAAAAGAUUACUCAUGUGAAGGAAGUGUCAAAUGAGGAAUUCUGCUUUCUCCCAGAAAGCAAGUUUGAUUUCUUUCAAAGGUGGCCUUGUUUCUGUAGAAGAGUGGAGCAGGAUGAAAUUGAAGCAGAGACAGAGCAGUGAGGCGGUAGAGUUGGAGAAGACCUGAGUGUGGACCUGGAAGCUCCCCUGCAGAGGGCAGGGGAGAGGAAGGGGCUAGCAUCACUGGAUUGGAGUGGAGAGGGAAAUGUAUCACUCCCCUGUCUUUGCUGUCAUCCUCUCCUCUUCCUUCUGCCACAAACUGGAAGUUCAUUUGUGAAGGGGCUGCUUGAAGCCCAGAAACAGUGCUAUAAAUGAUAGAUGAUCACUUCCCUGGGACGAUAAUUUCCCUGGGAGAGUCCACAAAAGUCUUUUGUAACUGACAAGGUAGGCAGAACAUUGUAUAUGAUCCCAUGUUUUUGUAAAAUGGACAAAUCCAAUCAUAAAUAUGUGUUUGUGGGCAAAUAGAAAAAGAUUUUAGCAAAUACACAGCAAACUAUUAACAAUGGUUGCCACUGGAGAGAGGGGAUGAGGCUGGAGAGGAGAGCGGAAAGGAUUGGGGGAUGUCACUUACUGCUUUACACAUCAUUCUGUGAUUUAAAUUCCUCCCAAUGAGCAUGCAUCAUUUUUAUGAUUAAGAACACAGAAAGAGCUAUCUUUUCAGUCUAUCUGGUGUAAUCAAAUGUGACAGAAUGUCUUGCUUUAUUGUUUGGAGCGAAUUAUAAAAAAUUUUAUGUUUGAUAUCAGAUUCUUAGGACAUAAGAAAUGGACAUUCAGAAGAAAU